UGGGGAAUUUUGGACAAUGGGCGAAAGCCUGAUCCAGCAAUGCCGCGUGUGUGAAGAAGGCCUUCGGGUUGUAAAGCACUUUUGUCCGGAAAGAAAUCCUUGGCUCUAAUACAGUCGGGGGAUGACGGUACCGGAAGAAUAAGCACCGGCUAACUACGUGCCAGCAGCCGCGGUAAUACGUAGGGUGCAAGCGUUAAUCGGAAUUACUGGGCGUAAAGCGUGCGCGGGCGGUUUGCUAAGACCGAUGUGAAAUCCCCGGGCUCAACCUGGGAACUGCAUUGGUGACUGGCAGGCUAGAGUAUGGCAGAGGGGGGUAGAAUUCCACGUGUAGCAGUGAAAUGCGUAGAGAUGUGGAGGAAUACCGAUGGCGAAGGCGGCCCCCUGGGCCAAUACUGACGCUCAUGCACGAAAGCGUGGGGAGCAAAACAGGAUUAGAUACCCUGGUAGUCCACGCCCUAAACGAUGUCAACUAGUUGUUGGGGAUUCAUUUCCUUAGUAACGUAGCUAACGCGUGAAGUUGACCGCCUGGGGAGUACGGUCGCAAGAUUAAAACUCAAAUGAAUUGACGGGGUCAUAGCUG
rnacentral:rRNA from 1 species